CUAUACCGGCCCAAACUGAUACAACAGUCCCUGCGGCCUGCAAAGCAAAAGUCAAAACUAAACAUACAUCGACACUCCCACUGAUGCAGGUAUCCCCUGCCCUGAUUGACCCGCCUAUGGCAGUCCCAGAUGGCAUGUUGCCAUUCACAAGAGCCACUGUCCGGGCGCAAGCGGCCAGAAAUUGGAAACGGGCACGUGCCCAAUACGAAGGGUCAGACUCUGACCAAAGUGAGGAGUUAGGGUCAGAUGACCCAGAUUAUAUUUACCAUGAUAUGGCUUCCGACUCGGAUAAGGAGUCUAACCCUCUGGAGGAGCCGACGGGAGUGGAGGAUGG